GGGCCGCUAGCUCAACUGGCAGAGCAGCGGACUUUUAAUCCGCGGGUUGUGGGUUCGAGUCCCACGCGGCCCACCA
rnacentral:tRNA from 2 species